rnacentral:rRNA from 1 species
UACGUAGGGGGGCGAGCGUUGUCCGGAAUCAUUGGGCGUAAAGAGCGUGUAGGCGGCCCGAUAAGUCUGGUGUGAAACUCUGAGGCUCAACCUCAAGCUGUCAUCGGAUACUGUCGGGGCUAGAGUCCGGAAGAGGAGAGUGGAAUUCCUGGUGUAGCGGUGGAAUGCGCAGAUAUCAGGAGGAACAUCCGUGGCGAAGGCGGGUCUCUGGGCAGUAACUGACGCUGAGGAGCGAAAGCGUGGGGAGCAAACGGGG